rnacentral:rRNA from 1 species
AUGAACCACUCCCCUACAGUUCAAUCUCGUCUUACGGACCUUGGCACGAUCUUGAAGCGACAUCAGCUUCACAGAUUUGUUCAUGCUCUCCCGACGAGGUGCCCGACGAUUGCUAGUAUUUCCCGGCACUUCUCCAUGUGUGCGGUGCGAGCGGAGGGGGGUUGGGCUCAAGGCGGUGUUAAUGGUUGGGGGCAUGGUUGUGGUGGCGGGGGCCACACAUUUUCGUUAUCGCCAUGGGGACUGCAUGUCGUGGUCACCAGGGAUACAUGGUGGUCGGGAUGCGAUGCGCGUGGACUAGCAAAAGGCCUCGCCGAUAUCUCCUGGGUGUUUUUCCCUGCGUGCGCUGCCGGUUCUAUGCAAGCACCUGGUCAUGAGUUCCAGGGUGAAAAUCUAGAUUCCGACCUCGUGUGGUUGGAUGCGGUGACGGCGACGCUUAAGCGUCGCUUCCGUCGUAAAGGCAUUGUUGUUGAAGAAUCUCGUCGUCGGUGUGAUGUCAUGAGGUGGUUGGUGCGGAUAUGCUUGGAUCGAUGUCCAUGGACGGCAAGACCCCUGAUCUGUUGGGUGAAUAAGCCGCGGCGGUGCACUGGGCUCGACUGGCGUGUGUAUGGGCGCGAGCCGGACGCGUCGGGUGCACCGGGUCCGCGGGGUUGCGCGGCCAAGAAGAAGAUCCGCGAUGGCGUCCCGCUGGUCUGCGCAUGGGCGCUCAUCAACACCUUCAGCACAGCAGUCAGCUACGUAGCCGUCGACUACAUCCCCGUCUCGUGCAGCCAGUCCUCCUUCAUUCUGCCGUGCAUAGAGCUGACGGACGCGGAGGAAGCCAGAGUAAUCGCCCUCUCCAUCGGGAUGCUGUGCUGCGCCCCAUUACAGGCGGCCGCCGCGGCGCUGGCGCUGCUGCUCCCAUGCCGCCGUCGCUCUGCCCGCCGUGCCCUCGUCUACCUCGCGCUCGCGGUCACCGUCCUCUUCCAUUGCAUGAGCGCCAGCACCGUCUGGAUCUUCCUCGCCGCCGACCCAGGAUACAUCUUCGGCAGGAUCUACUUCACUGCGGGGUUCUGCUUCAUCGUGGUGUGCGACCUCCUCAGCUUCCGGGCCCUCCUGGGAGGUGAUGGGUGGGGCAUGAAGUACGUGGCCUAUUUCUUCUGA